rnacentral:rRNA from 1 species
CUACGGGGGGCUGCAGUGGGGAAUAUUGCACAAUGGGCGCAAGCCUGAUGCAGCCAUGCCGCGUGUAUGAAGAAGGCCUUCGGGUUGUAAAGUACUUUCAGCGGGGAGGAAGGGAGUAAAGUUAAUACCUUUGCUCAUUGACGUUAUCCGCAGAAGAAGCACCGGCUAACUCCGUGCCAGCAGCCGCGGUAAUACGGAGGGUGCAAGCGUUAAUCGGAAUUACUGGGCGUAAAGCGCACGCAGGCGGUUUGUUAAGUCAGAUGUGAAAUCCCCGGGCUCAACCUGGGAACUGCAUCUGAUACUGGCAAGCUUGAGUGUCGUAGAGGGGGGUAGAAUUCCAGGUGUAGCGGUGAAAUGCGUAGAGAUCUGGAGGAAUACCGGUGGCGAAGGCGGCCCCCUGGACGAAGACUGACGCUCAGGUGCGAAAGCGUGGGGAGCAAACAGGAUUAGAUACCCGUGUAGUC